UAACAUAUGCACUUUGAUUUUUCCUAAUUAAGUAUAUGAUUUAAUUUUUUCUGUUCGAUAUUAAUUUUAAAAUUGUCACAACAUUAAAUCGAGAUAAAUUGAGCGCGAUUAAAAGCUCGAGUAGUCGGAUUUUUUUUUCGUCACGGGUCCGGUAUAAGCUUAAUUUGGAUUAAGCUUAAGUGCAAAAAAAAGAAAAGAAAAGAAAAAGAAGCCAGUUUCUAUAAAUGGAAGGGGAAGCUGGUUUCCAAAAAAGGAAAGAAAGAGGGGCACGUGAGAGAGAGAGAGAAAGACAGUUGACCCGAUUUUGACCCGGAUUCGAUGCGACCAUCGACCUUGACCCGGACGGAUCUCGCGAUUCCAGCUACCUCACCGGCCGAGCUUGGUACCGAUCUGAAGCUUGGAAGCCGGCCGUCAUAACCCAGCCGUCCUCGUUGCUGGAAAACGACUGGAACGCCGCCGUUUGAACCUAAAAAAUUCACGGCCAAAAACCCAUCACCAUCACCGUCGAUUUCGCCCGCGUUUUGGCACACCUCUAGCUGGGUUCUACUCCUCACGUCACCAGCAUCAUUUUCAACCAACCUUGUCACCUGAAACGGCCGGAUUGUCGACGAUCGGCCACUUGGAAAGCUCGCGGCUUUGGGAGCUCGAUCCACCGCCAUCGCCACGCGUGGGAGGUCACCGCCGGGACCAUUGGACUCACCGAGGUCUGAACUAUCAGACCUAAGCUUCUCGUCGUCGUUGACUAAAGUUUGGUCACCGUUGUCCGGCAGGGGUAAUUCGGUAAAUUUAUAAACCUUUAGGGUGAAUUUGUAAUUUAUGGAAUCAGUGGAUAAUGUGCUAAUUUUAGGUUAGGGCAGUGAGGUAAUUUGAAAUUACGAGGGUAAUUCGGUAAUUUAAGUCGUUAAGGAUAUUUUGGUAAUUUUACGUGCCGAGGGUAAUUUCGUAAUUUCUGACAUUGUGGUUAUUUUCGUGAUUUGAAUUGAGGACAAUUUAGUAAUUGAAGAUUCUAAGGAUAAUUUUGGUAAAAUAAUGAAUUUUGGCAUGUAGGGGUAUUUCGGUAAUUUUGUGCAUGCGGGAAUAGUUUAUUGUUGAUAGAUAUUCGUUUCGAAAAUUAUUAUGUAAGAUUAGUUGUAUUUUAAAUUUACGGAGAAUGAUUAUGUCGUUUCCUUAAUUAGGAGGAUCUGCGAACGAGAAUCAACCUGCGGACGUUGUUGAUACCGAGUC
rnacentral:lncRNA from 1 species